rnacentral:tRNA from 1 species
GGUGAAGUGGCUCAGUGGUAAUAGGGUGCCGGCAUAGCAAGCUUGAAGUCCUGAGUUAAUCCUCAGCAUCACCA